AAGUAAAAGUUGUAACAAGGUUUCCGUAGGUGAACCUGCGGAAGGAUCAUUACUGAGAAAGUACUUUUCCGAGGUGAUGGGAAGAGCCGCUCCCCUUUUGGAAGUAAAAGUUGUAACAAGGUCUCCGUUGGUGAACCAGCGGAGGGAUCAUUACUGAGUUUACGCUCUACAACCCUUUGUGAACAUACCUAUAACUGUUGCUUCGGCGGGUAGGGUCUCCGUGACCCUCCCGGCCUCCCGCCCCCGGGCGGGUYGGCGCCCGCCGGAGGAUAACCAAACUSUGAUUUAACGACGUUUCUUCUGAGUGGUACAAGCAAAUAAUCAAAACUUUUAACAACGGAUCUCUUGGUUCUGGCAUCGAUGAAGAACGCAGCGAAAUGCGAUAAGUAAUGUGAAUUGCAGAAUUCAGUGAAUCAUCGAAUCUUUGAACGCACAUUGCGCCCGCCAGCAUUCUGGCGGGCAUGCCUGUUCRAGCGUCAUUUCAACCCUCAAGCUCUGCUUGGUGUUGGGGCCCUACAGCUGAUGUAGGCCCUCAAAGGUAGUGGCGGACCCUCCCGGAGCCUCCUUUGCGUAGUAACUUUACGUCUCGCACUGGGAUCCGGAGGGACUCUUGCCGUAAAACCCCMAAUUUUCCAAAGGUGA
rnacentral:rRNA from 1 species